GAUGAACGCUGGCGGCAUGCCUAAGACAUGCAAGUCGAACGAGAUGGCCCAGUGAAGGUUGAGUGCUUGCACGAGACUGAAUCUGGAUUCCCAUCUAGUGGCAGACGGGUGAGUAACACGUGGGUGACCUACCUUUUCGUUGGGGAUAACAGUUGGAAACGAUUGCUAAUACCGAAUAAAAUGUAAGAGUCAAUUUUACAUUGAAAGGAGCCUUUAAAGCUUCGCGAUUAGAUGGGCCUGCGGCGUAUUAACUAGUUGGUGAGGUAAUGGCUUACCAAGGUGACGAUGCGUAGCCGAACUGAGAGGUUGAUCGGCCACAUUGGGACUGAGACACGGCCCAAAAUCCUACGGGANACAGCAGUUAGGAAUAUCGUCAAUGGAGGAAACUCUGAACGAGCAAUGCCGCGUGAAGUGAUGAAGGUCUUAUAGAUUGU
rnacentral:rRNA from 1 species